GAUGAAGAACGCAGUGAAAUGCGAUAAGUAAUGUGAAUUGCAGAAUUCAGUGAAUCAUCGAAUCUUUGAACGCACCUUGCGCCCUUUGGCCAUUCCGAAGGGCAUGCCUGUUUGAGUAUCAUGAACACCUCAACUCUCAUGGCUCGCCAUGAUGAGCUUGGAUUUGGGGGUCUUGCUGGCCUGUGGUCGGCUCCUCUCAAAUGGAUCAGCUUGCCAGUGUUUGGUGGCAUCACAGGUGUGAUAACUAUCUGCGCUUGUGGUUUUCCAUCAGAUAACCUUCAGUGAUGGAGGUUCGCUGGAGCUCAUAAACGUCUCCCCUAAGCGGGGACAGCCCUUUGAAUGUUUGAUCUCAAAUCAGGUAGGACUACCCGCUCAACUUAAGCAUCUCAAUAAGCGGAGGA
rnacentral:misc_RNA from 1 species